rnacentral:ncRNA from 1 species
AACCUGGUUGAUCUUGCCAGUAGUCAUAUGCUUGUCUCAAAGAUUAAGCCAUGCAAGUGAAAGUAUAUGCACAUUUAUUGCAGAAUACUGCGAGCGGCUCAU